rnacentral:misc_RNA from 1 species
UCUCCGUAGGUGAACCUGCGGAGGGAUCAUUACAGAGUUCAUGCCCUACCGGGUAGAUCUCCCACCCUAUGUUAUUAUUACUUUGUUGCUUUGGCGGGCCGUUAGGCUCCGGCCCGACUACCGGCCCCGGCUGGUAAGCGCCCGCCAGGGGACCCAAAACCCUGAAUAUUAGUGUCGUCUGAGUACUAUAUAAUAGUUAGAACUUUCAACAACGGAUCUCUUGGUUCUG